rnacentral:rRNA from 1 species
AUUGAACGCUGGCGGCAGGCCUAACACAUGCAAGUCGAGAGGAGCGGCGGACGGGUGGGUAAUGCCUAGGAAUCUGCCUGGUGGUGGGGGAUAACGUCCGGGAACGGGCGCUACUACUGCAUACUAUCAGCCGAGCCUAGGUCGGCUUAGCUUGUUGGUGGGGUAAAGGCCUACCAAGCCGACGAUCCCUAACUGGUCUGAGAGGAUGAUCAGUCACACUGGAACUGAGACACGGUCCAGACGCCUACGGGAGGCAGCAGGGGGGAAAAUUGGACAAUGGGCGACAGCCUGAUCCAGCCAUGCCGAGUGGGUGAAGAAGGUCUUCGGAUUGUAAAGCACAUUAAGUUGGGAGGCGUUACCAGCAGAAUAAGCACCGGCUAACUUCGUGCCAGCAGCCGCGGUAAUAC